GCUGAACGCUUUCUUCUUUCUUAACACAUGCAAGUCGAACGGAAAGGCUCCUGCUUGCAGGGGUACUCGAGUGGCGAACGGGUGAGUAACACGUGGGUGAUCUGCCCUGCACUUCGGGAUAAGCCUGGGAAACUGGGUCUAAUACCGGAUAGGACGAUGGUUUGGAUGCCAUUGUGGAAAGUUUUUCGGUGUGGGAUGAGCUCGCGGCCUAUCAGCUUGUUGGUGGGGUAAUGGCCUACCAAGGCGUCGACGGGUAGCCGGCCUGAGAGGGUGUACGGCCACAUUGGGACUGAGAUACGGCCCAGACUCCUACGGGAGGCAGCAGUGGGGAAUAUUGCACAAUGGGCGCAAGCCUGAUGCAGCGACGCCGCGUGGGGGAUGACGGCCUUCGGGUUGUAAACUCCUUUCGCUAGGGACGAAGCGCAAGUGACGGUACCUGGAGAAGAAGCAACGGCUAACUACGUG
rnacentral:rRNA from 1 species